GCCGAAGUGGCGGAAUGGCAGACGCGGCGGACUCAAAAUCCGCUUCCCUAACGGGAGUGUGGGUUCAAGUCCCUCCUUCGGCA
rnacentral:tRNA from 1 species